GCCUGAGCCCACUCGGAGAUCGGCCCUCAGGGCAAAGUGAGGCGUGAGGACCGAGCGCAGGUGCAAGUCCUGCCCUCGUGAGGACGGCCUUCUGGCGGGAGCACAGGUGGGAACACACAGGUUCUCGGCUCGCCCUGCGUGUCUCUGCCUGGCAGCAACCAGCACCCUGUGUGUGGGUGCCCUGGCCUGGGCCCCUCUCACCGACCUCUUCCGUCUACGGGCAAAGCGUCAAGCACCUCGAGUGCGCCCUAGCCCAGGGAGCUGUGCGGGACGAGCUGUGUUGCCAGACCAUUGAGAAACGGCUGGGGGGCUGCUGUGCUUGGCAGGAGCUUGUGUCUCCCGGCUGGUGACAGCCCCGGGCCCUGCAGGCAACACCGGGCGUCUUGCCACCGCUGCAGGCAGGGACGGUUCGUGCGUCCUGGAGAUGGAGGGGUCCCGAGGAUCGGACGAGGCCUGGCUCUGCACAGACCGUGGGUUCGCCCAGGCCCUGGGGACAGCGCCCCUCCAGCCAUCGCCCUCAGACUCAGAGCCGAGUGAAGGACAUGCCCGUGGAGGCCCUGCGCCUGGCAGGACGUGACUGGACCCUCAGAGGCAGCCUGCCCAGCCCAGAGUGGGCAGGAGGAAAGGGCAGGAGCUCCAGCUCCUCCAGGUCUCCACGGA